rnacentral:rRNA from 1 species
UACAGAGGGUGCGAGCGUUAAUCGGAAUUACUGGGCGUAAAGCGCGCGUAGGCGGCUUUGCAAGUCGGGUGUGAAAUCCCCAGGCUUAACCUGGGAACUGCAUUCGAGACUGCAUUGCUAGAGUAUGGGGAGAGGGAAGUGGAAUUUCCGGUGUAGCGGUGAAAUGCGUAGAUAUCGGAAGGAACAUCAGUGGCGAAAGCGACUUCCUGGACCAAUACUGACGCUCAUGUGCGAAAGGCGUGGGGAGCAAACAGG